GUGAAAGUAGUUUAAAAAAGGUAGAACAACAGUUUGUGGCACUGUUAGUGGGAGUUCAAUUCUCCCCUUUCAUC
rnacentral:tRNA from 1 species